rnacentral:tRNA from 1 species
UCCUCGGUGGUCCAGUGAUUAAGACUCCACUCUUUCAAAGCAGGGGGCUUGGGUUCAAUCCCCGGUCGGGGAA